GAUGAACGCUAGCGGCAGGCCUAAUACAUGCAAGUCGUACGGCAACACAGUUGCGAGCAAUCGCAACCGGUGGCGAGUGGCGCACGGGUGAGUAACGCGUAUGUAACCUACCCUUCUCCGGGACAUAACUCCGCGAAAGCGGUGCUAAUAUCCCAUACCAACUCAUCAAGACAUCUUCUUGAGUUGAAAGCAGCAAUGCGGUGAAGGAUGGGCAUGCGUCCCAUUAGCUGGUUGGUGAGGUAAUGGCCCACCAAGGCUACGAUGGGUAGGGGUUCUGAGAGGAAAGCCCCCCACACUGGUACUGAGACACGGACCAGACUCCUACGGGAGGCAGCAGUAAGGAAUAUUGGGCAAUGGGCGGAAGCCUGAACCAGCCAUGCCGCGUGCAGGAUGACCGGCCCGUACGGGUUAGUAAACUGUCCGUUUUCCCCGGGGCGAACUAACCCCCUCGCGAGGGGGGAUGCCGGUACCGGGGGAAUAAGGAUCGGCUAACUCCGUG
rnacentral:rRNA from 1 species